rnacentral:rRNA from 1 species
UGGGGAAUAUUGCACAAUGGGCGCAAGCCUGAUGCAGCAACGCCGCGUGAGGGACGACGGCCUUCGGGUUGUAAACCUCUUUUAGUAGGGAAGAAGCGAAAGUGACGGUACCUGCAGAAAAAGCACCGGCUAACUACGUGCCAGCAGCCGCGGUAAUACGUAGGGUGCGAGCGUUGUCCGGAAUUAUUGGGCGUAAAGAGCUCGUAGGCGGUCUGUCGCGUCUGCUGUGAAAACCCGAGGCUCAACCUCGGGCCUGCAGUGGGUACGGGCAGACUAGAGUGCGGUAGGGGAGAAUGGAAUUCCUGGUGUAGCGGUGGAAUGCGCAGAUAUCAGGAGGAACACCGAUGGCGAAGGCAGUUCUCUGGGCCGUAACUGACGCUGAGGAGCGAAAGCGUGGGGAGCGAACAGGAUUAGAUACCCUGGUAGUCCACGCCGUAAACGUUGGGCGCUAGAUGUGGGGACCAUUCCACGGUUUCCGUGUCGCAGCUAACGCAUUAAGCGCCCCGCCUGGGGAGUACGGCCGCAAGGCU